UCCUCAUCUCUCUCCGUAUGCUUCUUCUUCUUCUUAUCUUCUGUGCUGAAUCUGCACUCAAGGUAGGUGUUGAAGGAUGCUGCAGCUGGAAAAGAGGCUUUCCUAUGACGAUAUUCAGCACAGGAAGAGGAGUUGAGGAAGCAGUCCUGGUCUUGCCCAAGAGAAUGUUUUGUGAGAACCAGAGCUCAUCCAUGACUUGUUGGAGCCAAUGAACUUGAACAACGUGGUCCCUGAAUGUGACUAGGUAGGGUCAUAUGGAACAACUAGCUAUCAAACUUUGUAUCUAGUCCCUUGAAGAUGAGGAUCAGGUGAGUGUGGAUCCCAAUCAAGCCUUGUUAGAGUGUUUAUUAAUUCUCUGUUUUUGGCUUUACCAGGUUGAAAGAAAGUUCUGGGAAGAAAACCAUAAGAAUGAGCAUCCCUUUGAUGGGUUAUUUUAGAGGUUGGAUGCUACUAGUAACCGGAAAGAUGAGGAUGAAGGUGAUAAGUAGAGAUAGCACCUUUUGUUUUUUUUUCCU